GGUGAGUAACACGUGGGCAAUCUGCCCUUCACUCUGGGACAAGCCCUGGAAACGGGGUCUAAUACCGGAUAACACCGGCCUCCGCAUGGAGGCUGGUUGAAAGCUCCGGCGGUGAAGGAUGAGCCCGCGGCCUAUCAGCUUGUUGGUGGGGUAAUGGCCCACCAAGGCGACGACGGGUAGCCGGCCUGAGAGGGCGACCGGCCACACUGGGACUGAGACACGGCCCAGACUCCUACGGGAGGCAGCAGUGGGGAAUAUUGCACAAUGGGCGAAAGCCUGAUGCAGCGACGCCGCGUGAGGGAUGACGGCCUUCGGGUUGUAAACCUCUUUCAGCAGGGAAGAAGCGAAAGUGACGGUACCUGCAGAAGAAGCGCCGGCUAACUACGUGCCAGCAGCCGCGGUAAUACGUAGGGCGCAAGCGUUGUCCGGAAUUAUUGGGCGUAAAGAGCUCGUAGGCGGCUUGUCACGUCGGGUGUGAAAGCCCGGGGCUUAACCCCGGGUCUGCAUCCGAUACGGGCAGGCUAGAGUGUGGUAGGGGAGAUCGGAAUUCCUGGUGUAGCGGUGAAAUGCGCAGAUAUCAGGAGGAACACCGGUGGCGAAGGCGGAUCUCUGGGCCAUUACUGACGCUNAGGAGCGAAAGCGUGGGGAGCGAACAGGAUUAGAUACCCUGGUAGUCCACGCCGUAAACGUUGGGAACUAGGUGUUGGCGACAUUCCACGUCGUCGGUGCCGCAGCUAACGCAUUAAGUUCCCCGCCUGGGG
rnacentral:rRNA from 1 species